UACGUAGGGGGCUAGCGUUGUCCGGAAUCAUUGGGCGUAAAGCGCGUGUAGGCGGCCCGGUAAGUCCGCUGUGAAAGUCGGGGGCUCAACCCUCGAAUGCCGGUGGAUACUGUCGGGCUCGAGUGCGGAAGAGGCGAGUGGAAUUCCUGGUGUAGCGGUGAAAUGCGCAGAUAUCAGGAGGAACACCAAUUGCGAAGGCAGCUCGCUGGGACGUUACUGACGCUGAGACGCGAAAGCGUGGGGAGCGAACAGG
rnacentral:rRNA from 1 species